CAGAAGAGGAAAGAAGGGAGAUCCUUGAGAAGAGGGGUGAGUUAGAGAACACUGAAGAGGAGGAGGAGAAGGACGAUGACAAGGAGGACAUCCUCCCACCUGAUAAAAGUAUCUGAAGGAGAGCCGUGGGCUGGGUAAAUAAGAAGUGGGAGAAGAGGAACCUCAGAAAGAUAGAGAACCUGUCAGAGAGAAGCUGAGGAGGGCUAUAAGAUCGUCCACAUAGUCAUCCCUGGACCCAUAAGGCUAACCAUGACCCAGGCAGAGAGAGAGAGGAAGGAGCUCCUGAAGACUGAGGAGAGAAGGAAUAAGAUGGAGGAUUGCAGUGGAGAGAGCAGUCCCUGCUUAAUAAACGGACUCAUCAGAAACUUAAAGAGGAGAGGGAGAGGAUGAAGGAACAGUACCUAAAUAAACAAGCAAGAGAUUUAAGAUGGGAUGCUUGGCUUUUUCUUUGUCUUGGAUAUUCGCUCUGAUGUUUCAGCCUCUUCUGGAGCUUCUAGCUGCUGGCUGUCUGGCCCCCCCUGAUGGUUCUCUGGCCCCUCCUGCUGGUUCUCUGAACUCCCCUCCUGGUUCUCUGCCCAUGCCUGUUGCCUCCUUGGCCUUUCCUGGUGGCCAUCAGCAGAUCCAGUGGGCUCUUGGCUUACUUGUUGGCCAUUGGCCCACCCGGGCAACUCCUGACCGUGGUUGUAAUCGUGGCUGUGUUGGGUGGUUAGACACCGGGUGUUGAUUUGAGCAUCAGCCUCCAGAUUCAUCUGCUCCAG